rnacentral:tRNA from 1 species
GAGGGUGUAGCUCAGUGGUGGAGCACAUGCUUAGCAUGCACGAGGUCCUGGGUUCAAUCCCCAGGACCUCCA